rnacentral:rRNA from 1 species
AAUGAACGCUGGCGGCAUGCCUAACACAUGCAAGUCGAACGAGAUCUUCGGGUCUAGUGGCGCACGGGUGAGUAACACGUGGGAACAUACCUCAAAGUUCGGAACAACAGCGGGAAACUGCUGCUAAUACCGGAUACGCUCAACGGAGGAAACAUUUAUCGCUUUGAGAUUGGCCCGCGGCGGAUUAGCUAGUUGGUGAGGUAAUGGCUCACCAAGGCAACGAUCUGUAGCUUGUCUGAGAGGACGAUCAGCCACACUGGGACUGAGAUACGGCCCAGACGCCUACGGGAGGCAGCAGUGGGGAAUAUUGGACAAUGGGCGAAAGCCUGAUCCAGCCAUGGCGCGUGAAUGAUGAAGGCCUUAGGGUUGUAAAGUUCUUUAAGUGGGGAAGAUAAUGACGGUACCCACAGAAUAAGCUCCGGCUAACUUCGUGCCAGCAGCCGCAGUAA